UUAUCGCCAAAGCGGUAUUCAUGAUUCUUCUCAUUCGUUUUUUGCAUGCUUAUUCUCCUGUUACAGGCCUGGCGCU
rnacentral:tRNA from 1 species